AGCUACGAUCAUACCAGCACUAAUGAACCGGAUCCCAUCAGAACUCUACAGUUAAGCGUGCUUGGGCGAGAGUUGUACUAGGAUGAGUGAGCUCCAGGAAAGUCCUCGUGUUGCAUCCC
rfam:Arabidopsis thaliana chromosome 3, complete sequence.